GCUCAGGUGGCCUAGUGGUUAGAGCGUCCGCCUUGUAUGCGGGAAGUCGUGUUUUCGAUUCCCGGUUGAGUCA